UUGAAAAUGUCCCCUGAGGUCUUCUCAUCACCACAUCCUCUCUCCUUGUGGCCCGAGAAGGACGUAGGUCUGUCUCUAAAGCUCUGCUGAGAUGACAUCAUUCUGUUUUGCUUCUGACACGUGAACUGACUCCUCCGUCUUGAGAGAUCUGAACACAGAACUCAGAACUCAGCAACACCCCAGGUCAAGGAGUGCUUUAUUUCUGUCACGAUAUGAAAACCAAAUGACCCAACACAUUUACCUUUUACCUUGGCUACUAGGAAAUUAGAGAUACCCGCCAUAUUCUGUUCUAGGGAGGAAACCUCAAGUGUCAAUACCUCCACCCCUACACAGCCACUGAUUUCCAGGACAUGGGGAGCAGAGAAGACAGGCAGCUGGUCACGUGAUGGAUGAGAACAAACGAGAAGCAGACAUGGAAGAUAGAUCUAGAGAAAAAAUGAUGAAGACAAAUACAUCCACACAAUUCCCUUCUCAUUUCUACUUCUUCUUUGCUGGUUUUCUUCUACCCUUCCACCUUCUGCCCUUCAUCUUUCUCCUCCCCCUGGCUCCUCCUCUCAUCCUCUACAUCUCUCAACCUCAUCCUUUGCUUCCUUCUCCGGGGAGGUUCCUAUUUUUCUCUCCCUGGGUUAGCUAAUUCACUUGACAAGCACUUAACAGAAUUCCAGGCUUCCGGGUUUCCAUAAAAAUCAGUUUACUCCUCCA